UACGUAGGGUGCAAGCGUUGUCCGGAAUUAUUGGGCGUAAAGAGCUCGUAGGCGGUCUGUCGCGUCGGCUGUGAAAACCCGGGGCUCAACCCCGGGCCUGCAGUCGAUACGGGCAGACUAGAGUGCGGUAGGGGAGACUGGAAUUCCUGGUGUAGCGGUGAAAUGCGCAGAUAUCAGGAGGAACACCGGUGGCGAAGGCGGGUCUCUGGCCCGAUACUGACGCUGAGGCACGAAAGCGUGGGGAGCAAACAGG
rnacentral:rRNA from 1 species